ACAAAAUCACCGGACUUUAUGAAACUACCAAAUCUCGAGGAAUUGAUAUUGAAAUCCUGUCAUAGUUUGUCUAAGGUUCACUCAUCCAUCGGGGAUCUUGGAAGACUUUCUUUGGUAAAUCUUAAAGGCUGCACCGAUCUAGAGGAUCUCCCACUGAAUUUCUAUAAAUCCAAGUCUAUUAAAACUCUUAUACUUAAUGGUUGUUCAAGUUUUGAAAAGUUGGCUGAGGGCUUAGGGGACAUGGUAUCAUUGACAACUCUGAAAGCAGAUGUGACAGCCAUAAGACAAAUACCAUCUUCCAUAUUAAAAUUGAAGAAACUGAAAGCUUUAUCUUUAUGUUAUGUGAAAGGGUUGCCAUCAACAAAUCUUUUGCCUCCUUCAUUGCAUAGUUUAAGCUCUUUAAGAGAAUUAGCUCUUGCAAACUGUAGUUUAACUAAUGAUGCAGUCCCCAAGGAUCUCGGUAGCCUAAUUUCCUUAGAAAGGUUAGAUCUUGCAUGCAAUGACUUUUGCAGCCUACCAAGCCUCAGUCGUCUUUCAGAGCUUCAAGAUUUGUCUUUACAUAAGUGCAAAAAUCUUCGUGCAAUCCCAGAUUUACCAACAAAUUUGAAAGUCUUACGAGCAGAUGGCUGCAUUGCAUUGGAAAAAAUGCCAGAUUUUUCAGAAAUGUCAAAUAUAAGAGAAUUGUAUCUACGUGAUUCAGGCAAACUCACUGAGAUUCCAGGCCUGUAUAAGUCAUUAAACUCCAUGACAAGGAUUCAUAUGGAGAAGUGCACUAAACUCACUGCCGAUUUUAGGAAGAACAUCCUACAGGUUAGUCCUCUCUCUCUCUCUCUCUCUCUCUCUCUCUCUCACACACACACACACACACACACACAUAUACAUCUUUCUCUUUCUACCACAUACAAUAAGAAUGUAUUUCUUAUAGAAAUUUGGCUCUACAUGGUAUAGGUAUGGACUUCUUGCGGAUAUGGUGGCAUUUUUCUCAGUGGAAAUGAUAUUCCUGAUUGGUUCCACUGUGUCCAUGACGAUGAUAUUGUGUAUUUCACUGUGCCUCAAAGUGAUGGUCGAAGUUUGAAAGGGUUAACUUUGUCCUUCGGUUUCUCCUUUUCAAAACUUUUCAUUAUUGGUUUUCUCAUUAGCAUUAAAAACAUGACCAAGUGUACUGAGCUUGAAGCCAGGAUCAUACCCGAUUGUCGAACUGAGGGUUAUUAUCUUUGGCAGGGACAGUUAUCAAAUGACGAGCUCAAAUUGCAAGACGGUGAUAAAGUCUUGAUUGAAAUAAUAGUGGAGGAUUAUUAUAGGGUGAAGGUCAAGGUGAAGAAAACAGGUGUUAGUCUGGUAUGGGACAAAUUUAUGAACGAAAAUAUGAUUGAUUACCAUCUUUGUGCGUAUGAACGACGCCCAUCUCAAAAUCUGGUCAAUGAUGAUGACAUCAUUCAUGUCGAAGAUGAUAAUCACAUAACAAAAUCACCAGACUUUUCAAAAUUCCCAAAUCUCAAGAAGUUGAUAUUGAAAGGUUGUAAGCGCUUGUCUAAGGUUCACUCUUCCAUCGGAGAUCUUGGAAGACUUUCUUUGGUAAAUCUUCAAUGUUGUAGAAGGCUAAGGGACCUCCCACUGAAUUUCUAUAAAUCCAAGUCUAUUGAAACUCUUAUACUGAAUGGUUGUUCAGGAUUUCAAAACUUGGCCGAUGGCUUAGGGAAUAUGGUAUCAUUGACAAUUUUGGAAGCAGAUAAGACAGGCAUCAGACAAAUUCCAUCUUCCAUAGUCAAAUUGAAGAAGCUGAGAAUUUUAUCUCUAUCUGGUGAGAAUUUGGAAAUCUUUUACCCCUUUCGUUACAUGGCUUAAACUCUUUUGAGUUAUGUAUGUCUUGCAGGCUGCUGGUUAACUGAGGAUGCAAUCCCUAAGGAUCUAUGUAGCCUAAUUUCCUUAGAAGAUCUGCUUCUUGGAGGCAAUGACUUUCGUAGCCUACCAAGUCUCGCUGGUCUUUCAAAGCUCAAAGUCUUGUGUGUAAAUGCAUGCAAAAACCUUCGUGCAAUCCCAGAUUUACCAACCAAUUUGUAUGUUCUGAAAGCAAAUGACUGCCCAAAAUUGGAAACAAUUCCAGAUUUUUCAAAAAUGUCGAAUAUGAGAGAAUUGUAUCUCAAUGAUUCGUUCAAACUCACUGAGGUUCCAGGCUUGGAUAAGUCAUUAAACUCCAUGACAAGGAUUCAUAUGGAAGGCUGCACCAAUCUCACUGCGGAUUUUAGGAACAGCAUCCUACAGGUCUCUCUCUCUCUCUCUCUCUCUCUCUCUCUCUCUCUCUCUCUCUCUCUCUCUCUCUCUCUCUCACACACAGUAUAUAUUGACUUAAUAAGCCAUCAUUUCUAGCCUAAAUUGUAUUUGGCACUAAAACCGAAUUUUCGUAUUUUGAUUUGGUGGGAAUUUGAUUUUCUAGUAUUUUUAUUUGAAUCCAAAUGGGGGGUACUUCCUUAUUUACAUUGUAAACUUAAGUAAAUGAAGUAAUAUAAAAAUAAAUAAAAGUAAAAGGACAAAGACAUUUACUUAAAUGUUAAAAAUGGAAAUAAAGUAAUAUGUACAUCAGUUGAGCAAAGGGGCAAUUUGAAGCACCUACAAUGAUUUUUCCAGCAAAGAAAAGUGCAGCUGCACCUCCUUGCGCCUUAAUAAGUCCGCCACUACUUGCAGACCAAGAUAGCAUUUGCCUCCUUAAGAACUUACAGAAGACCAAAAGACCAUUUGUUUUGAUGGGACCUGAAGACGAUUUUCUUUGGCAGGGACAGUUGUCAAACGAUGUGCUCCGUUUGCAAGGCGGGGACCAAGUCUCCAUUCUUGUAAGGCCUGAUGAUGUUGAUUUUGUGAGAGUGAAGAAGAUAGGGAUUCAUCUAGAAUGGGACAAACUCAUGAAGGAAAAUAUGGAUAAUCCGGAUCCUCAUUUGUAUAAUUUGGAAACAAAUCGGGAUUUUUCAGGGGGAGUUGACUCCAUUUCAAGAAACAUAGAGAACAAGGGAAGAAAUCAAAGACAAGGAGGAUAGGAUCGAUUGAUACCAACAUAUGCAGAGAAGCAUGGGGAAGAGAAGUAGAGAGAAAUUGCAAUCUUGAUUUAUGUAUUUCUUAAUCUUUUAAGCCACAACACUAUUACACUUUAUACAAUUGUCUAACUAAUUCACGUACACUACUAACAACUCACGUGCCUUGCACACCCAACUCACCCCUGAAUUAGACCAACACCCCAAUGCUGGUUAAGAACAAUUUAAAAAACUACCACUGCAAUAAUAUUACUAGAUACCCAAACACAAUUUUUCACAAAAAAAAAAACCAAAACCUGCCCAGCCCACCUUUUUACAAAAACAUGAUAUCUUAUGCUUUUGGCACUUGAUUAGUACCCUCUUUCUCUUUAUAUCCAUCUUUCAUACAACUACAUUAUAUAUAGUCCUUUGACACACUGCAUUAUUUGUAUCUAUAUCAACUUUUCAAUAAAAAUUAUCUUUUCGUUUAAAAAACUAGUGGUAGAUAAGGUGAUUACAAUAAAUUUGUAAUAUUUUUACACACUGUAUGUCUCCAUUUUGAGUUAUUUACACUAACACCUUAUGAGGUUUUCUGUUUUUUCACAAAAUUCCUUGAGGUUUUAGAAAUGACAAGAACACCUCUUGAUUUGUUAAAAUGUUUUCACAAAACUCAUUUUCAUUGAUUUUUCAUGUAAAGAUUGAUGAUUUUAUACAAAAAAAAAAUUCUCCAAAUAACAAAGUUGGCCUUUGACACUAGAUUGCAUAUACUUCAUUGAGGUUAAUUUUAUCAUUUACAUAAGUUUUUAUUUUAAUAAAUAAAAUCAUCAAUUUUUGUACAAACAAUCAAUGAAAAUGGAUUUUAUGAAAACAAACUCAAACAAGACUUGUGUUUUUCUUCUUCUUUUUUCUUUUUUUUUUAAUUAGACUUUGUGCUCGUCUCUUCCCCCUCUUUUCAUGUCUCUUUCCCCUAAGCUUCCUUGCAUACCUUCAAUCUUACCCGUCCAGUAGAUCGUGCAGCCAAAAAGAUAUUAUCUUUUCACUGUUCUCCCCACAUGGGAACUUUUGCUUUUGUCGACUGAAACGUUUGAGGACCUUGACUUUGCGCUGCAACACACAAACCACUGCCCAGAAAAAAUAAUUGAUUAUGAAAUAAGGGCCUGUUUGGCAUUGCUGUGCUGUGAAAAUAAUCGCUGUCAAAUUUGCUGUGAGAGAAAUCAGCUGUGAGAUAAAGCAGUUUGGCGUUUGGUAAACUUUUUGUUAAAAGUGUUGUUGGUACUAAUUCCCGCAUAAUCAUUAAACCUAACAUCUCUUUGAAACUGAUUCCCGCAUAAUCAGAAAAUGAAAUUACCUUAUUAGCUGCUUUCCAUUAUAGCUUUCUCUCACAGCAAUUUUCAACAAUAAAUGAUUUUCUCAUAGUUUACCAAACGAGCUGUGCUUCCCAAAAUUUUAAAAAAAUCACUUAUUACCCCAAAUAAGCAAUGCCAAACGGGCACUAACUUCUUCGGCUCAAGUCGGAUCGGAAGGCCAACUUGUGCAUAAUUUGUAGUUGGUCUGAUCUGAACCAGUAUCAAUUAAUGGAUGCCAGGAAAGCCCAUAAAGCCUCCUCUUCAUCCUCACCAUCUUCCUCGUCAAAACGUUGGAAGUACCAAGUGUUCUUGAGCUUCAGAGGUGAAGACACACGCAAGGGCUUCACAGGCCACCUCCACGCCGCAUUAUCUGAUGACGGAAUCCGCACCUUUCUUGACGACAACGAGCUAAAAAGAGCGGAAUUUAUAAAAACCCAACUGGAGCAGGCAAUCGACGGGUCCAUGAUCUCAAUAAUUGUCUUCUCCAAGAGGUAUGCCGAGUCCAGUUGGUGUCUUGAUGAGCUAGUGAAGAUCAUGGAGUGUAGAGAAAGAUUGGGGCAAAAGGUUAUUCCAUUGUUCUAUAAUGUUGAUGCUUCAGAUGUCCGGAAACAAACAGGUAGGUUUGCGCAGGCAUUUGAGAAACAUGAAGCGGACAUCUGUGAAGGUAAACAUGAGAAAGAAAAGGUACAGCGGUGGAGAAAUGCUCUCAGUCAAGCUGCAGAUUUGUGUGGGGAAGAUCUUAAAAAUGCUGAUGGGUAAUUACUAAUUUCUUGUUCCUUGGAUUAACAUCUCCUUACUUGACAACCAUAUGUUUUCUGUCCUUUUUGUUUUUGUUUUUGUUUUUCCAACUAUGUUUUAAGUUUUAACUAUGCAUUCUUUCUUUUUGACUUUGAACUUUGGUGUUUGUUUGUUUGGUUUUAACUAUGUAUUCUUUCUUACUUGAUAAUGUAAGAUCCAUUUAACAUUUGAUGUUAAAUCCCAAUCUUAAUUGUUAAUUAUAUCUUAAUUCUAAAUUAUUAAGUUAGGGAUUCAAUGUAACCUUGUAGUUUGUUCCACAUCGAAUGAUUCGUAGUUCUGCUUCUUUGUUUAAUUGCCAGGGAUGAAGCAAAGUUUAUCCAGAAAAUUCUUGGGGAGGUUAAUAAGCAGUUGUACAGCAAAUACCAAUUAGACAUCGGACACCUUGUUGGAAUUACUUCUCGGGUGAACGAUGUUGUUCGCAUGAUUAAUAUUGAAAAUUCAGGUUCUAAGGAUGUUGUUCGCAUGAUUGGUAUUUUGGGGAUGGGCGGCAUUGGAAAAACAACGCUUGCCAAAACCAUUUAUAACAAAUUUGAACGUAUUUUUGAAGGUAGGAGUUUCCUUGCAAACGUGAGGGAACCCAUUAAUGGUCUGGUUGGUUUGCAAGAACAACUUCUAAAUGAUAUCUUGAAAAGCCAGGGCAUAAAGGUUGGCUCUGUUGCUAAAGGGAUCGAUAUGAUAAGAGAAAGACUUUGCUGUAAAAGAGCACUUGUCAUAAUUGACGAUGCAGAUGAUCUACAGCAACUAAAAGCAUUAGCUGGAGCUCGUGAUUGGUUUGGUCCUGAAAGUAGAAUUGUUAUAACAACAAGAAAUCAACAUUUGCUAGAGCAAGUUGGAGUGGAUAGCACGUAUAUGGCUCAAGAAAUGGAUGAGGAAGAAGCUCUAGAGCUCUUUAGUUGGCAUGCCUUUGAAAGUGGUUAUCUUGAUCAAGAAUAUCUUGACCUCUCAAAACGUGUAAUUCGUUACUGUCAAGGCUUGCCACUAGCACUUCAAGUCGUAGGGUCUUUUUUGAUUAAAAGAACCGCAUUAGAAUGGGAAAGCCAAUUGGAGAGAUUGGAAAGAAGUCCUCAUGAAGCAAUUUCAAAAAUACUGAGAAUAAGCUUUGACAGGCUACCUGACCAUACAGACAGAAGUACAUUCCUUGAUAUAUCUUGUUUCUUUAUUGGAAUGGACAAGGACUAUGUCACACAAAUAUUAGAUGGAUGUGGCUUUUCUGCAACGCUAGGAAUCCCUAUCCUCAUUGAACGGUGCCUUGUAACUGUUAGUGAGCAAAACAAGUUGAUGAUGCAUGAUUUGCUUCGGGACAUGGGAAGAGAGAUCGUUCAUGAAAAUGCCCGCGGUCACCCUGAAAAAUUUAGUAGAUUGUGGAAACAUGAAGACGUAAUAGAUGUAUUGCGCGAUGAAUCUGUAAGUACUUUCCCAGUAAAGUUUUAGAAUGCAUCAUGCAAGAGAAGCAUAUGUAUCCCGUGUCUAUAAUAAAUUCAAAUGUCCUUUUCCAUUUCUUUAUAUUUUGUUUAGUACAAGCACUAAAUCAAAGUAAAAGAGGGGGUUCUCACACAUCCACACUACCAAGGUACCAUUUGAACCUGAGACCUUAGUCUGCAAGUUUAGACCAUUUUUCACUUCGCUAGACCCCAUUGCCAUUUCUUAUAUUAUAUCCGUUAAGAUCAAAGCUCAAUUAGGCAUAACCAACAAAAAAUAUGUGCAUUGAUUGCAAAACACAAACUAUAGGGCGUAACAUGGUCCAAUACUAUUAAUUAUACCUUUUUGGUUAAUACAUACACGGAUUUUGAUGUUUGUAAAUCAUUUUUCUAACUCGAUAUCUUUUGUUAACAGGGAACUAAAAAAAUUGAAGGAGUUGCUCUAGAUAUGCCAUGGUCUGACAAGGCUAGUUUCAGUGCAGAAUCAUGUACCAACAUGAAAAAACUGAGGUUACUCCACCUCAGCAACGUAAAGCUCACUGGAGACUACAAAGAUUUUCCCAAAAAGUUAAUAUCGUUGUGCUGGCAUGGAUUCCCUUUAGAGUCCAUACCAGAUGACUUUCCUAAUCAACCAAAACUAGUUGCUUUAGACCUGCAGAAUAGCAAACUCAAAAUAGUUUGGAAGGAUUGCAAGGUAUAAUAAUCUCAACCUAGUUGUUGUUGGUUCUUUCCUUCUGGUUCUAUACAUAUAUUUGAUGGAGUUUGUGUUUUUCUGGGUAUGAAAAUGAAGAAAGAAUAAAAGGUUGAUGAAUGAAGAGUUCUCCUUCUCUCUGCAGAAAAGCAGAGAGGACUAUAUUUCUCUCAAUGAAAAAAUGAGCAUGCCAAAGAGCAUCUCAUAACCGUUAGCCUUAGCUGGAUCCACACACGUCAUAUUGAAUCUCUGCCUCACAUCUAGCUAUUCUUAAAGUUGCUACAUGUGGCUAUUUUAGCCUUACAUAUUGAAGGGCCUCUCACUUGUCAUUUACCAGACUAAGUGCAUACACAAUUUAAACACAAGGCUUAUUUAUCCUAAACUCAUAUUAGCUCAAUGCUUAUACACUAACAAUAUUAUACUUCACAUUCUCUUUAUUUUGGUUUAAUUUCUGUAUCAGAGACCUUCCUUUUGGAUUUUAAUUUCCAUUCUAAUUUUGUUUUUGUGUAACAGUUGCAUCAGAAUUUGAAAAUCCUUAAUCUCAGUUAUUCCUAUGGGCUAAUAAAAUCACCAGACUUUUCAAAACUCCCAAAUCUCGAGGAAUUGAUAUUGCGACACUGUGUGAGAUUGUCUGAGGUUCACUCAUCCAUCGGGGAUCUUGGAAGACUUUCUUUGGUAAAUCUUGAAGGCUGCAUCGAUCUAGAGGAUGUCCCACUGAAUUUCUAUAAAUCCAAGUCUAUUGAAACUCUUAUACUGAUUCGUUGUUCAAGAUUUAAAGACUUGGCUGAUGGCUUAGGUGACAUGGAAUCAUUGACAA
rnacentral:lncRNA from 1 species